UACUAGAGUAGCACUCGCAUAUCAAUAAGCGGAGGAAAAGAAACUAACAAGGAUUCCCUUAGUAACGGCGAGUGAAGCGGGAAGAGCUCAAAUUUGAAAUCUUCAAGGUUUUACCUUGACGAAUUGUAGUUUAAAGAAGUGUUUUCUGUUGGAGUUUUGGUAAAAGUUCUUUGGAAUAGGACAUCAUAGAGGGUGAGAAUCCCGUAUUUGACCAUUAUUUCCAGCUGUGUGAUACACUUUCAAAGAGUCGGAUUGUUUGGGAAUGCAGUCCAAAAUGGGUGGUAAAUUUCAUCUAAAGCUAAAUAUUGGCGAGAGACCGAUAGCGAACAAGUACCGUGAGGGAAAGAUGAAAAGAACUUUGAAAAGAGAGUUAAACAGUACGUGAAAUUGUCAAAAGGGAAGCGUUUGACACCAGUGUUGUUUUUCCGAAAAUCAAUUACGAAUGUUUUGUUUUUAAGAAGUUAUGACUUCAUCGGCUUGCUUCUUUCUUUACGAAACUUUCUUAAUGCACUUUUCGGUUAACAAGUCAACAUCAAUUUCUUUUGUUGUAAAAGGGUAUGAGGAAGGUGGCUUUCUUUUCGGAGAAAGUGUUUAUAGCCUUGUGCCUCUGCAAUCGGAGAGAUUGAGGUCUGCAGCGUAGAUCCUUCGGGGUUAGAUACAUUUGUGCUAAGUUAUAGCUUUUCAUAGACAACUUGUUGACUAUGUUUGGUCUUGUAGCUUACUCGCUUAUGCUAUUUUACCUACGCUUAGGAUGUUGAUAGUCACAGCGUGUAC
rnacentral:rRNA from 1 species